rnacentral:pre_miRNA from 1 species
UCAUCAAAUUGGCAGUGAUCUGUUACAUUUGAAUCAUAUCACAGCCAUCUUGAUGAUC